UGUCUGCAGUUUCUUCUGCUAGUUUCAUUUGGAGAUUUCAAGAUGGUGUAUAUCUCCUUAAUUGUUUCUUGACAGACAAGUUAAGAAUACCGCAGCAGGCUCUGGUCUCCCAGAACAGGCAAAAAUGGUCCUGUAGGCAUUCGUAAUUUAUAGCAUCCUGCAACUCUGAAGAUCUUCAAUACCAACAUCUCAUUCCAAGGUUGCAACAAAACCAUUAUCAACAUGUAAAACAAAGAAGAUGUGGCCCUCCUUCUUCUGGGGCUUGCAAAGCUCCCUUGAGGCUCUUCGUGUGGCUUAUAAAAUAAUUCUUCCAAUGGUAUAAGAUUCAAGCAAAAAUGUGACAUGAGAUUUGCUUGCCUAACCUGACCCUGGAAUGUAGACCCUACAUCACUAGUGACAGUUCAGCGCUGGAAGGAGAUCUGUAUCAGCCACAUCUUUUGCACCACUUGGCAUCCUUUGACCUCCUGUUUCUGGAUCCUUUG